GACGGGGGGUCCUAGCGUUGUUCGGAAUUAUUGGGCGUAAAGCGUGUGCAGGUGGUUUGGUAAGUUAGAUGUGAAAGCCCCGGGCUUAACCCGGGAAGUGCAUUUAAUACUGCCAAACUUGAGUAUGGAAGAGGGUCGUGGAAUUCCAGGUGUAGUGGUGAAAUACGUAGAUAUCUGGAGGAACACCGGUGGCGAAGGCGGCGGCCUGGUCCUAUACUGACACUCAUACACGAAAGCGCGGGGAUCAAACAGG
rnacentral:misc_RNA from 1 species